CCUACGGGUGGCAGCAGUGAGGAAUAUUGGUCAAUGGACGAGAGUCUGAACCAGCAACGUAGCGUGAAGGAUGAAUGCCCUAUGGGUGGUAAGCUUCUUUUAUAUGGGAGUAAAACAGGGUAUGCAUACCCUCUUGUAUGUACCAUAUGAAUAAGGAUCGGCUAACUCCGUGCCAUGAGCCGCGGUAAUACGGAGGAUCCGAGCGUUGUCCGGAUUUAUUGGGUUUAACGGGAGCGUAGGUGGGUUGAUAAGUCAGGUGUGAAAGUCUGCGGCUCAACCGGAAAAUUGCAGUUGAAACUGGCAGUCGUGAGUACAGUAGAGGUGGGUGGAACUCGUGGUGUAGCGGUGAAAUGCUUAGAUAUCACGAAGAACUCCGAUUGCGAAGGCAGCUCACUGGACUGCAACUGACACUGAUGCUCGAAAGUGUGGGUAGCAAACAGGAGUAGAUACCCUUGUAGUC
rnacentral:rRNA from 1 species